CCCGAAGAGAUGGAGAAAUUGGUAACUGAACUAUGGAGGGCACAUAUGAGGCAUCAAGAUCCAUCAGAGGUCAUGAACAAAGAUAUCAUUUCACACUUCGUUCUUCGUCUUGCAUAUUGUAGAAUGGAUGAAUUAAGGAAAUGGUUUCUUUCCAUGGAGACUUCUCUUUUCCGCUAUCGAUUCCGACUAGAAAGCCCUGAGUCAUAGGU